UGAUCUGAGGACGGAGUCAGAGAUUAGAGAGGACACAAGCCAGGCAGGCCACAGCCACUGUGCCCAGAGGAGGAAGGAUGGGCUCUCCCACGGGCGCGAGGCCCUGCCGGUACCCCGACUUCGGGCUGCUGGCCUCCGGUGCUGUGGGAGGACACACAUGCAUUAUGGGAAGCACCUCGCUCGCCGUGUGAGUGCAGCGGCUGCAGGACACCGAUGGCCUAGCGCAGGUGUGGCCUGUGGUCCGGCAGCGCCAGCGUGUGCAGGGAGCUGUUUGGAAAGGCAGAGUCCAGCGGCUCCUGCUCAGGCAGCCCGCAGCACCUGCACCUCACAGGCCCCCAGGGUCCCCGUCCACGUCCAGGAGCAUGUGCACGAGACCCCUCCUUCAGGACGUCCUGCUGCAUUGACUCAUUCGUCAGCUCCGGGCGGACUUGGCAAAGCCACUCCAUUUUGAUCCUGACGACUUCCACAGCAGACCCAACAGCAAGCGCCUCGUGUAUUAUAACCUUCAACUGAGGGAAAAAUGAGAAUAUAACGGGAUCGAAUGGUUUUGUGUGGCUAAAAGAGUGAACGGGAAACAACUAAGAUGGACAGCAGUUCAAUUUUUUUGAAAUCUAUAGUUGUUUCAUCAAAAACUUGUUUUUGGUAAGAAAAAAGGCCUUUUGUUCAAAGUAAAAUGGUAUAAAGUCAGGGAAACAAAGAAAAAAAUAAUUAACUGCUGCGCCCCUCCCCUGACUCGGGCAAUGGCAAGGCCCUACUGAGGUGGAUGGCACAAGGCAUCCAUCCUCU
rnacentral:lncRNA from 1 species